rnacentral:rRNA from 1 species
CUAGUGGCGCAGCAGUGGGGAAUAUUGCGCAAUGGGGGAAACCCUGAUGCAGCAACGCCGCGUGAGUGAAGAAGUCAUUCGUGAUGUAAAGCUCUAUCAGCAGGGAAGAAGAUGACGGUACCUGAGUAAGAAGCCCCGGCUAACUACGUGCCAGCAGCCGCGGUAAUACGUAGGGGGCAAGCGUUAUCCGGAUUUACUGGGUGUAAAGGGAGCGUAGACGGUGAGACAAGUCUGAAGUGAAAGCCCGGGGCUCAACCCCGGGACUGCUUUGGAAACUGCCUGACU